AAUGAACGUUGGCGGCGUGGAUUAGGCAUGCAAGUCGAACGAAUCCCUUGUAGCAAUAUGAGGGGGAAGUGGCGAAAGGGGCAGUAAUGUAUGGGUAACCUACCCGGGGGUCGUGGAUAGCCGUCCUAACGGACGGGUAAUACACGGCGAUUCAGCGAGGCGGCAUCGUUUUGCUGGGAAAGAAUUUCGCCUCCGGAGGGGCUCAUAUCGUAUUAGCUAGUUGGUGAGGUAACGGCUCACCAAGGCGAAGAUGCGUAGCGGGUGUGAGAGCACGACCCGCGCCACUGGCACUGAGACACUGGCCAGACACCUACGGGUGGCUGCAGUCGAGGAUCUUCGGCAAUGGGCGAAAGCCUGACCGAGCGACGCCGCGUGGAUGAUGAAGGCCUUCGGGUUGUAAAAUCCUGUCGAGGGGGAUCAAGGGCAACUUGAGUGAUCCCUGGAGGAAGCACGGGCUAAGUUCGUGCCAGCCGCCGCGGUAAUAC
rnacentral:rRNA from 1 species